GAUGAACGCUGGCGGCGUGCCUAAUACAUGCAAGUCGAGCGAACAGACGAGGAGCUUGCUCCUCUGACGUUAGCGGCGGACGGUUGCGUAACAUGUGGAUAACCUACCUAUAAGACUUGGAUAACUUCGGGAAACCGGUGCUAAUACUGGAUAAUAUAUCGAACCGCAUGGUUCAAUAGUGUAAGACGGUUUUGCUGUCACUUAUAGAUGGAUCCGCGCCGUAGUAGCUAGUUUGUAAGGUAACGGCUUACCAAGGCAACGAUGCGUAGCCGACCUGAGAGGGUGACCGGCUUCGCUGCAGCUGAGACGCGGUCCAGUGUCCUACGAGAGGCAGCAGUAGCGAAGCUUGCGCAAUGGGCGGAAGCUUGACAGAACAUCGCCGCGUGAGUGAUGAUGGUCUGCGGAUCGUAAAACGCUGUUAUAAGGGAUAAACAAGUGUGUAAGUAACUAGGCUCGUCUUGACGGUACCUAAGCAGAAAGCCACGGGUAACUACGUG
rnacentral:rRNA from 1 species